rnacentral:tRNA from 3 species
GUCCUGAUAGCUCAGCAGGAUAGAGCAAUGGCCUUCUAAGCCAUCGGUCGUGGGUUCGAAUCCCUCUCAGGACA